AUGUCAAAAAGACCAUCUUAUGCCCCACCUCCCACCCCAGCUCCUGCAACACAAAUGCCCAGCACACCAGGGUUUGUGGGAUACAAUCCAUACAGUCAUCUCGCCUACAACACCUACAGGCUGGGAGGGAACCCAGGUACCAACAGCCGGGUCAACAGCAUCCUCUGGUAUUACGAUUCCAAAACCCCCAAAGCCACCAGAUAAGCCACUGAUGCCCUACAUGAGGUACAGCAGAAAGGUCUGGGACCAAGUAAAAGCUUCCAACCCUGACCUAAAGUUGUGGGAGAUUGGCAAGAUUAUUGGUGGCAUGUGGCGAGAUCUCAUUGAUGAAGAAAAACAGGAAUAUUUAAACGAAUACGAAGCAGAAAAGAUAGAGUACAAUGAAUCUAUGAAGGCCUAUCAUAAUUCCCCGCAUACCUUGCUUACAUAAAUGCAAAAAGUCGUGCAGAAGCUGCUUUAGAGGAAGAAAGUCAACAGAGACAGUCUCGCAUGGAGAAAGGAGAACCGUACAUGAGCAUUCAGCCUGCUGAAGAUCCAGACGAUUAUGAUGAUGGCUUCUCAAUGAAGCAUACAGCCACUGCCCAUUUCCAGAGAAACCACGGCCUCAUCAGUGAAAUCCUUAGUGAGAGUGUGGUGCCAGACGUCCGUUCAGUUGUCACAACAGCUAGAAUGCAGGUCCUCAAACGACAGGUCCAGUCCUUAAUGGUUCAGCGAAAACUAGAAGCUGAACUUCUUCAAAUAGAGGAGCGACACCAGGAAAAGAAGAGGAAAUUCCUGGAAAGCACAGAUUCAUUUAACAACGAACUUAAAAGGUUGUGCGGUUUGAAAGUAGAAGUGGAUAUGGAAAAAAUUGCUGCUGAAAUUGCACAGGCAGAGGAACAGGCUCGAAAAAGGCAGGAGGAAAGAGAGAAAGAAGCCGCGGAGCAAGCUGAAUGCAGUCAGAGCGGCAUGGUUCCUGAGGAAGAGCAAGCUGCUAGUAAGAGCGAGGGGAAGAAGGACGAGAGCAUCCCAAUGGAGACAGAGGAGACACACCUUGAAGAAGCGACGGAAAGCCAACAGAAUGGUGAAGAAGGCACGUCUACUCCUGAGGACAGGGAGAGCGGGCAGGAGGUGGUGGACAGUAUGGCUGAGGAGGGGACCAGUGACAGUAACACCGGCUCCGAGAGCAACAGUGCCACAGUGGAGGAGCCACCCACAGACCCCACACCAGAAGACGAGAAGAAAGAAUAAAUGUUGCCUUGUUUUAUGUGUUCUAAAUACUUUUUUAAAUGAAAAAAAAAAAUGUUUUUUGAGUUUAAAAA